GCUCUGGUAGCCUAGUGGUUAGAGCAUUCGCCUCGGAUGCAGGAGGUCGUGGGUUCAAAACUCCGGCCGAGUCACA